UACGGGGGGGGCAAGCGUUGUUCGGAAUUACUGGGCGUAAAGGCUCGUAGGCGGCCAACUAAGUCGGACGUGAAAUCCCCAGGCUCAACCUGGGAACUGCGUCCGAUACUGGAUGGCUUGAAUCCGGGAGAGGGAUGCAGAAUUCCGAGGUGUAGCGGUGAAAUGCGUAGAGAUCAGGCAGAACACCUGGGGCGAAGGCGGCCAGCUGGGCCGUCCCUGACGCUGAGGCGCGAAGGCGUGGGGAGCGAACGGGG
rnacentral:rRNA from 1 species